rnacentral:rRNA from 1 species
UAACGCGUGAGUAACCUGCCUUCAAGAGGGGGAUAACAUUCUGAAAAGAGUGCUAAUACCGCAUGACAUAUCGGAACCACAUGGUUUUGAUAUCAAAGAUUUUAUCGCUUGAAGAUGGACUCGCGUCCGAUUAGUUAGUUGGUGAGGUAACGGCUCACCAAGACCGCGAUCGGUAGCCGGACUGAGAGGUUGAACGGCCACAUUGGGACUGAGACACGGCCCAGACUCCUACGGGAGGCAGCAGUGGGGGAUAUUGCGCAAUGGGGGCAACCCUGACGCAGCAACGCCGCGUGAAGGAUGAAGGUUUUCGGAUUGUAAACUUCUUUUAUUAAGGACGAAAAUUGACGGUACUUAAUGAAUAAGCUCCGGCUAACUACGUGCCAGCAGCCGCGGUAAUACGUAGGGAGCAAGCGUUGUCCGGAUUUACUGGGUGUAAAGGGUGCGUAGGCGGCUUUGCAAGUCAGAUGUGAAAUCUAUGGGCUCAACCCAUAAACUGCAUUUGAAACUGUAGAGCUUGAGUGAAGUAGAGGCAGGCGGAAUUCCCCGUGUAGCGGUGAAAUGCGUAGAGAUGGGGAGGAACACCAGUGGCGAAGGCGGCCUGCUGGGCUUUAACUGACGCUGAGGCACGAAAGCGUGGGUAGCAAACAGGAUUAGAUACCCUGGUAGUCCACGCUGUAAACGAUGAUUACUAGGUGU